UUUGGAAACCUAUCGCCUGCUGGAGUCCAGGAGAAGAGUUACACAAUGGACUCAAAUGCAGUCCUUGUCAAUGAAAGCACAACAGCAGAACACUUGAAAAACGACCAGAGUUUGGAUCCCAGCUUACACCUACCUGUAACUCCAGCUCCAGGGGAUCUGGCACCCUCUUCUGGUCUCUUUGAGGGAGAUGGAGCCUCAGAUCACUUAUGCAUCAGUUUGGCAACAAAUGGUACGUAGGACAGUGUGGAACUGCCAUCUUGCUUUAGCUGUUCCAGAGCCGAACAAAAGAGGUCCGCAGAAGAAAUGUACUUGAACACCCGGAAGCCCAAUCUGCACCUGGAUCUAACUUAUUUUUUAUUCUUAGUUAUGGUAAUUAACUAAUGUAUUUAUUUAAUUAGUUUUGAGCCAGGAUCUUAUCUAUAUAGCUCAUGCUGGCCUCGAACCUCUAUGUGGGAUAGGAUGGUCACAAAAUUUUGAUUCUCAAUUUCCGUCCUCCUUUCCUCUCCCUCCUGAAUGCUAGGAUUACAAAUACAUACCACCACGCUGUGAUAGAAUUGAGUUAAGUGAUGAAAACCAAGACUUUAUUCUAAUGUCAGACCAAAAUGAGACCUCAGUCACCCUUGGGACAGAGUGCAAUAUGGCCUGUCUAUAAAAGAUAUGGAUUUUUGCUCAGCAGGCAUACUGUGUUAGAUUGUAUCUUCCAAGAAUUUCCAGUCUUCCCUAUUUUAUUUUUAUUCAACGUGACCUGUCUACUGCCUAUCAAAAGGUAGAAUGUUGUUUCCGAUCCCUUGGGUCUGGGGAGGUUUAUGACUGCUUUGAAUAGUGGUAUAGUGUAAUGUUAUGUGACCUGGCAAGCUUGGGUUGUAAGCGAUGCAGCUUUUGCCUUAUUUCCUAGAGAAACCCAGCUACCUGACACAGCCUAACUCUGGGAAGCCCAAGUUACAUGGGUACAAGGGUUUUGGUCAACAGUACCAGUACCAUGUAUCCAUGAACUUCCAGAUACAGCAUCCAUGGAUUUCCAGAGAUGAAUCUUUGAGGUCGUAACUGACCGAGUGUGUGACUUAUAAACCUCUAAAAAUUCAUUAGCUCUGUUCUCUUGGUAAUAUGAAGAGACCUGGUAAUGAGGAAAAUAUGAGUUUCAGGAAGAAAGCAUGGGGCAUCAGUUUUAGCUGCCUGGUGGUUGUCUUGCUCCACUGUUUAAUUUUGAGGUAGUAAGUCUGGUGUCUAAGCUCCAGAUAGCUGGUUUACCACUGUGUACUAGUUUACACUGGCUUAUUUGUAGUGUUUCAUUUGGUUGGCAUUAUGUUCUUUUAUCAGUUAAAAAGACUCAAUAAAUGUGAUUGUUUCAA